UAGGGAAUCUUCCACAAUGGACGCAAGUCUGAUGGAGCAACGCCGCGUGAGUGAAGAAGGUUUCCGGAUCGUAAAGCUCUGUUGUUGGUGAAGAAGGAUAGAGGUAGUAACUGGCCUUUAUUUGACGGUAAUCAACCAGAAAGUCACGGCUAACUACGUGCCAGCAGCCGCGGUAAUACGUAGGUGGCAAGCGUUGUCCGGAUUUAUUGGGCGUAAAGCGAGCGCAGGCGGAAGAAUAAGUCUGAUGUGAAAGCCCUCGGCUUAACCGAGGAACUGCAUCGGAAACUGUUUUUCUUGAGUGCAGAAGAGGAGAGUGGAACUCCAUGUGUAGCGGUGGAAUGCGUAGAUAUAUGGAAGAACACCAGUGGCGAAGGCGACUCUCUGGUCUGCAACUGACGCUGAGGCUCGAAAGCAUGGGUAGCGAACAGG
rnacentral:rRNA from 1 species